rfam:Dipodomys ordii contig_23059, whole genome shotgun sequence.
GGGAAAGUGGCUCAAUGGUAGAGUGCUUGCCUUGCAUGCAUGAAGCCCUGGGUUCAAUUCCUCAGCACCA